CUAACUUAAAGUUUCGGGAUGGGAUGGUCACAUGACCAAUGCCUUAGGAGGUCGAGUCUGCAUUGUGUGAGGAGUCUUUUUAGACUGAUCUUCGACUUUUGCUGCAUUCCUUCAUUAGCAAUGUUUUCGAUUUCUAUAAGGUUCUUCCGACUCAGAUCACUCCAAACUCCACUCGGAUGAUUAUCAUUUGCUUUGUAACUGGCUCGGUAUCAUUCUGAGAUACUCUAUCUUUAUAUCUUCGUUCACCUU
rnacentral:lncRNA from 1 species